rnacentral:rRNA from 1 species
GACGAACGCUGGCGGCGUGCUUAACACAUGCAAGUCGAACGAUGAAGCUGGAGCUUGCUCUAGCGGAUUAGUGGCGAACGGGUGAGUAACACGUGAGCAAUCUGCCCUUGACUCUGGGAUAACUGCGGGAAACUGUAGCUAAUACCGGAUACUUUCACCGGGGGGCAUCCUCUGGUGAUGAAAGAAUUUCGGUCAAGGAUGAGCUCGCGGCCUAUCAGCUUGUUGGUGAGGUAACGGCUCACCAAGGCGACGACGGGUAACCGGCCUGAGAGGGUGACCGGUCACACUGGGACUGAGACACGGCCCAGACUCCUACGGGAGGCAGCAGUGGGGAAUAUUGCACAAUGGGCGCAAGCCUGAUGCAGCAACGCCGCGUGAGGGAUGAAGGCCUUCGGGUUGUAAACCUCUUUUAGCAGGGAAGAAGCGAAAGUGACGGUACCUGCAGAAAAAGCACCGGCUAACUACGUGCCAGCCGCCGCCGUAA